CAAGCUCAAGCCCUGCAAUACGCCCACGGCCAGACACUACACAGACUCAGAUUGAGGCUGUCAAGGCCCAGAUGGAAGCAGCCUUCCAAGCACGGCAGGAGGCGGCAGAGGAGAGGUGGAGGGCCGAGCGGGACGACAUCUAGCAAAAAUUGGAUCAAGCUCUAACAUUUAUGCAAAGCCUGGGCUCGGCGAUGGGUGUUUCGCCUCCACAAUUCCCUCCGGCCCCACUUGUUCGUCGUGCAGAAACUCCUCCUACCAAUCAGUCGGCGGCAUCCAAUGAUGGGCC